UCCUCGCGGCCCUUUCUCAGAGACGCUGGCGAACGGAAGCUGGGGAGCAAACCCCGAACCGUGGGUGGAAACGAGAGGACAGGUGGGUGACGGAGAACGGAAAAGAAAAAAAACAGAACAGAGGAAGCGCCAGAGCUUUGAACAUCCGUCAGACGGCGCGACGCGGCGCUCUGAAGUUCUUCUGAGUGAUGACAGCGAUAAACGCACUGUUGGCGAUUCUCACGGGAGCGGCGAUGGGCCUCGUUGGACUCCCCCCCGGCCCGUCAGCAUCUGCCGCGCAUCCGCGCGUCGGACCGCGGUCACGCGGCGACGGCAGGGCUCGGAAAACCGGCCCGCCUCCGGUCACCGCGCCCGACAACCGCACCCUCGCAACAGAGCAUUCUUAAAGGUGCAUCCUGCCCGGCCCGGGACAGGAAGCAGCCACUUCAGCCUCCGAGCAGCCAUCUUUGUUUUUCACGGCGUGAGCACAGCUUUGUGAGUGGGCCAACCUUUUCUCUCGUAAAAUGAAAA